ACUAGCUGACGAGUCCCAAAUAGGACGAAAUCUGCGUUAUCCUGGAU
rnacentral:hammerhead_ribozyme from 1 species